UACGGAGGAUGCGAGCGUUAUCCGGAUUUAUUGGGUGUAAAGGGCGUGUAGCCGGGCUGACAAGUCAGAUGUGAAAUCCGGGGGCUCAACCCCCGAACUGCAUUUGAAACUGUUGGUCUUGAGUAUCGGAGAGGCAGGCGGAAUUCCUAGUGUAGCGGUGAAAUGCGUAGAUAUUAGGAGGAACACCAGUGGCGAAGGCGGCCUGCUGGACGACAACUGACGGUGAGGCGCGAAAGCGUGGGGAGCAAACAGG
rnacentral:rRNA from 1 species